CGAACAUUUAAGGUGCCAGAGUAGAUGCCCAUCAGACACCACAAAAGGCGUUAGUACAUCUUGACAGCAGGACGGUGGCCAUGGAAAUCGAAAUCCGCUAAGGACUGUGUAACAACUCACCUGCCGAAUGUGCUAGCCCUGAAAAUGGAUGGCGCUCAAGCGUCUCACCCAUACCUCGCCCUCGGGGUAGAAACGAUGCCCCGAGG
rnacentral:ncRNA from 1 species